rnacentral:sRNA from 1 species
AUGUCUAACACAGUCCAUCACGUCUUCUUUGUAGUUGUUGCGAGCUUCCUUCAAGCGCU